GAUGAACGCUGGCGGCGUGCCUAACACAUGCAAGUCGAACGGGGAUAUGAUUUCGGUUGUAUCCCAGUGGCGAACGGGUGAGUAACGCGUGAGCAACCUGUCCUUUUGAGGGGGAUAACACUUGGAAACAGGUGCUAAUACCGCAUAAGACCACGGGUCCGCAUGGACCAGAGGUCAAAGGAGCAAUCCGCAGAAGGAGGGGCUCGCGUCCCAUUAGGUAGAUGGCGGGGUAACGGCCCACCAUGCCUUCGAUGGGUAGCCGAGCUGAGAGGCUGAUCAGCCACACUGGGACUGAGACACGGCCCAGACUCCUACGGGAGGCAGCAGUAGGGAAUCUUGCGCAAUGGGCGAAAGCCUGACGCAGCCAUGCCGCGUGAAUGAUGAAGGUCUUAGGAUUGUAAAAUUCUUUCACCGGGGAAAUAAUGACGGUACCCGGAGAAGAAGCCCCGGUAACUUCGUG
rnacentral:rRNA from 1 species